AAAACUGUGUUCAUUCUCACCAAUAGAUGUCGCUGUAGUCAUUUUGUGGACACAACAAAUACAUUUCAGCCACAUCAUUGAACUGAUGCUACAACAUCAGCAUUAUUGUACAGAAGAUAUGCAAGAGUGUCCAUAGACAACUUUACCAUUAUCAACAAUUAAUGUAAAAAUGCAUUAAAAACCUUUCACAUUUACAAUCAACUUUAAAAAUAAGAAAUUACAUGCAAAGUUUAUCUGCUCUAACAGUAAAGAUCAGCAAAAAAUUAUAAGGAUUGGCAUUGAACAUAUUUUUGCCAAAGUUUUUAAAUUUGCACUAAAUUAUAAGUAAGAAAUAUGAAAGGAAAGAAAUUAUGCAUAAUCAUAAUGAUAUUUUUGGUGCACAUGGUAAAUGGUCGCCCAAAAAUACCAUUGAAAGAGGUGGAUGCUGAUCAACCUUUACCACUCGAUAAACUUGAGCCACCUGAUCAUUUGGAGGCAGUACGAUUUGAACAAGAUGGAAUGCUGAACAAAGAUUUCCAUAAAGAGGCUUUUAUUGGGAAUCAUGAAGAGAUCGACGAUGAUCCUGUCGAUAUUGCAGAUUCAAAACUUAAAGAUAUCUUCAACAAAGUGGAUACAGAUUCAGAUGGUCAUAUGAAUCUAAUUGAAGUAGAAUCCUGGAUCCAGGACAAGAUAAGACAACAUUUUGAUGAAGCCUUAGAAGAAAAUGCACACAUAUUUACACACAUGGACCCUGAUGGAGAUGGUUUAGUUGACUGGAAGGAUUACUACAAACAUUUCCUUCUGGCUAAAAAGUAUGAUGUUGAUAAAAUUGAUAGCUUUCUGAAAGAUUAUGGAGAUCAAGCUUUAGAUAUGAAGGAAACCGGUGAGUCUAGCUCUAUAAAGGAAGGGAAGAUAAAGUUAAGAGAAAGUGACAGAGAUCAGUUAGUCCGGUACAAGUUUAAAUGGACAGAUGUAGAACAAAUGCCAAUGGAUAAUAAACUAAACAAAGAAGAGUUUUUAGCAUUCCGUCAUCCAGAACAGAGUGGACUUGCUAUGAAAAAAAUGAUUGAGACAAUAUUGAAUUCUUUAGAUACCAAUAAUGAUGGUAAACUUACAUUAACCGAAUUUGUUGCCCUGCCACCUGGUGAUGUGGAAGACGACGAACAGAAGAAACUGGACGAUCGCUAUCAGGACGAAAGGAAAAAGGAAUUUAUAAAUGCUAUAGAUGGUGAUAAAAAUGGCGUUGCUACUCAGAAAGAGUUAGAGGACUAUGUUGAUCCCAGAAAUCCACAGCAGUCAAAGGCAGAAGCUGUCAACCUUCUACAAAUGUUAGAUGAUAAUAAAGACGGAAAAGUUUCUAUGGAUGAAAUGUUUAAACAUAAAGAUAUCUUUGUAGACAGUAAAUGUGUCAACGUGAAGAGAAGUCUACAUGACGAAUUUUAAAAUUACAUAGAAAUUUUGCAUAGAAUAGCAUUCUGUGAUAUGAUAAAAUUGAGAAUGGAAAUGGGGAAUGUGUCAAAGAAACCACAACCCGACCAUGUUUAGAUUCAGAUGGGGAAGCACCUAGUCCUGUACUUCUUUUAAAAAAAAUAAGAGAAUAAAAAUAAAUAGAAAUAUUAAGCCAACUUUGUGUAAAAAGGGUCCUUGUAUUCCUCUUUCUCAGGAGCACCCCCUAACAUAAAAAAGACCAGGAUGUUUGUUGGGUGUGGCCUAAGUGUCUGACUUUAGAAAAGGUCAAUUGUUGACAUACUUUAUCUGGUUUAUAUAGAUUUAUUUAUCUUAUUAUGGCAUUGCCUAUAGGGAAUUUAAAUUUGUCAACAAAAACAAUUUGUGGUAUGAUUUUUUUCUAAAAAAAUUAAAAAUGUCAGAGUUGUGAUCUUUUGUAUAAUUAUUUAAGUAUCUAGUUUAAGGACUAUUUUUGUACUUUUUACCAUAGAACAAUAUUAUUGAGUGGGAUAUGAUUUGUUAUAUAUGUGACAGUGGGUUUAUUUGUGGUGUAAUGAUUUUAAAGAGGUCUGCUUAAAUUUGUAUUUUGAUUAUAUUUGUACAACUAAUCAUGUUGAUUUAAUUUAGAAAUUCUAUGUUAUGUUAGAACUUUGACCCAAGGUUAUAUUGUUCUAAAUUUUUACAUUUACCUCCAAAUAUGCAUUCCAAGUGCCAUUUCUUAACCUCUUUAUAAUUUCUUGUUCUUCUUUUGUCAUUGACUAACCUUUUCAGAAAACUUUUUCUCAAGACUUGUUUGUCCUCAGAAGUGUUAAUUCUAUUGCUUUUAUAAAAAUCAGGUUUUUUUUUUGUAUGAUCUUUUUCAAAGUAAAAUAAAAAAAAUUCUCUGUGAAAUAGAUUUACAGCACUUUUAAGUAACAGUAUAAAAAUAAUUAUGAUAUUAAUGGUUACUGUGAUUUGAUUUAUAUAUUUAUACAGCUUUACUGGAUUUUGCCAUUUGUUUUUGUGUGCGUGUGCGAUGUUAGUUUUUUAGUGAGAGUCAUUGUUCUAAUAAGUUGAAUUGCUUGUUAUAGAGCAAUUCUUAUUAUUUAAAUUAAUCAACUAUACUUUUGAAUCAAAAUAAACUAUUCUCUAUUACAGCAUUCUAUGCACAUUUCUAGAAUUUAUUUUCUUAGUUGAAAACUGAGAAGAUUACACCCUCAAUAACUUAGUCCUCCAAACUGUUUCUGUUGCAAUAUCAACACUUUUUUCUAUGUCCAGAUUUUUUUUUUUUUACUUAGUACAAUUAAGUCUUUCUUUAUUCUUUGAUGUUGUAAAUGGUGCAGUUUUAUUGUUUAUCAUGAGUGUAGAAUGAGCUAUUAAUGUAAUUUAUAUAGAAAUAAUUAUGUUCUUGACUUAAAAAAAAAUAACCAACUGGUUCUAAAAUUCUAUACUGUGGAUUAAUUUUGUUUUUCAUGCAUACAGAUUUUCUUGCAUUAAGGAAAACUUGCAUUUUCAUGAAAUUGAAUAUUUAAUAUCAUGGUUUUGCUGAGUCUGCAUAAAAAUCAAUAGAAAAUUUGUAAACUGUGACCAUUUAAAUUUGUGGUUAACUUAUAUCUACUAAAUCCACAAAAACUGGUAUCCAACGAAUAAUAUUUAAUCCAUGGUGCCUGAAUACUAAAAUUAAGUGUUACAGUAAAAAAAUAAAAUUUGUAAUAGGUUCAGUUUUAUAUCAUGGGUUAAAAUGAGUAAUUAAUGUAAGAAAUAUAAAAAUAAUCAUGUUGUUGUAAAAGAAUAAUCAACAGUUUCUCAGAUUUUCAUUGAUUUUGCCACACCAAUUCUAUAAUUUAUUUGUAUAAUAGAUCAAUAACAGAAUAAAUAAUUUGCCCUCUAUUUCAAAUUUAUUUUACGUAUAAGUUGAGAAACUUUUGGUUUGUUAUAUCCUAACAAAUAUUUUUAUUGAAAAUUGUGUUCUCUUUUUGGUGUGUUUUAUGUUACAAAUGUAUUGAUUUGAAAGACAAACUUUUCUCAAACAUGCAUGUUCAUGUAUGAUUUGUUAAAAUUUGCAUAUUAGACAACAGUUGUUUUUCUCAGCUGUUGCAUUGUGACAUAUAUGUCAUAUUUUUUUAUAAUGUGUUUUAGUGGAUAGCAUCUAUCAAAAUAGGAACUCUUGAAUGUUUUUUUUUUGUUACAUUUUUUUAUGUUAUUAAAAUACAAAAUAUAGUCCCAUUUGUUUCUACAUGUAUUCAUUAUCAAUGCAAUCAUUAACAGUACUCCAGAAUGAUAAAUUUCAAGAGGAAGUUACUUGCCUGCUGAUUUGCCAUAUAAAUUAUGGUGCUUUUUUUCAUUAAACAUUGUAAUUUCCAACUGGAAACUUCGGUAUCAAAUUGCUAAGCAACUGUCAAAAAACAUCACUUCUUUUUUAUAUACAUCCGGCCCUAUGGCCUUAACACACAUGAAAUUAUUUGUUUGAAUUUGUUUUUGUUAGUUGCAUGUGUAUGAUGCUAGUAUCUUUUAUAUUUUAUGAUAUAGUUGGGAUGUUAACUUAUCAAGGUGUUUUGUCAGUUCAAUUUAAAAUAUGUGUAUCAACGAACAGGAGUACCUUGCAAAUAUACGUCAGCUUUCAUACCAUAUUGAGGGAUACCUGAGGUUAUGAUUGACUUUAACUUUUAAUAUUUUUGUGGGUUUUAAUUUUUUUUAAAUUGUCUGCUUCUUUACAAGAGAAAAACACUAAUGGAUUAAUUCAAACCCACAAACUAAGGUAUUAUUUUUAAAAACUAAUAAAUUAAACAUACCUGCAGAAAAAAAUCAGACACACCUCACAUAGAGAGGAAUUGCUAAAAAAAUAAUGGAACUUU